AGAGUUUGAUCCUGGCUCAGGAUGAACGCUGGCGGUAUGCCUAACACAUGCAAGUCGUACGAGAGUUUUUAACUCUAGUGGCGGACGGGUGAGUAACACGUGAGAAUUUGCCUUUAGGAGGGGGAUAACAAUUGGAAACGAAUGCUAAUACCCCAUAUGCUUUUGAGUGAAACGGAUUUAUCCGCCUAGAGAGAAGCUCGCGGCUGAUUAGCUUGUUGGUAAGGUAAGAGCUUACCAAGGCGACGAUCAGUAUCUGGUUUGAGAGGACGAUCAGACACACUGGAACUGAGACACGGUCCAGACUCCUACGGGAGGCAGCAGUGGGGAAUUUUCCGCAAUGGGCGAAAGCCUGACGGAGCAAUACCGCGUGAGGGAAGACUGCCUAUGGGUUGUAAACCUCUUUUUUCAGGGAGGAAUAAAUGACGUGUACCUGAAGAAUAAGCAUCGGCUAACUCCGUGCCAGCAGCCGCGGUAAGACGGAGGAUGCAAGUGUUAUCCGGAAUCACUGGGCGUAAAGCGUCUGUAGGUGGCCUAAUAAGUCAACUGUUAAAUCUUGAGGCUCAACUUCAAAAUCGCAGUCGAAACUAUUAGACUAGAGUAUAGUAGAGGUAAAGGGAACUUCCAGUGGAGCGGUGAAAUGCGUAGAUAUUGGAAAGAACACCGAUGGCGAAAGCACUUUACUGGGCUAUUACUAACACUCAGAGACGAAAGCUAGGGUAGCAAAUGGGAUUAGAUACCCCAGUAGUCCUAGCCGUAAACAAUGGAUACUAGAUGUUGAACAGAUCGACCUGUGCAGUAUCAAAGCUAACGCGUUAAGUAUCCCGCCUGGGAAGUAUGCUCGCAAGAGUGAAACUCAA
rnacentral:rRNA from 1 species